rnacentral:ncRNA from 1 species
GAAGAAGGGAUAGCGAAAUCGUGGCCCGACGAACAGGAAGUCGUGCAGGCUGAAGCAUGACGGCCAAUCAGGCGCAUCAGGCGGACAAGCUGGCAAAAGGCAGUAAAAUCCAAAAGGCAACCGUAACCCUGAUGUGUAAAUUGGACGGGUAAACGAGGAAAGGC